rnacentral:rRNA from 1 species
AAUAUUGGACAAUGGGCGAAAGCCUGAUCCAGCCAUGCCGCGUGUGUGAAGCAGGNUUNNGGAUUNUNAAGCACUAUAAGUUGNNNNNAAGGGCAGUAAGUUAAUACCUUGCUGUUUUGACGUUACCGACAUAAUAAGCACCGGCUAACUUCGUGCCAUCAGCCGCGGUAAUACGAAGGGUGCAAGCGUUAAUCGGAAUUACUGGGCGUAAAGCGCGCGUAGGUGGUUCGUUAAGUUGGAAGUGAAAGCCCCGGGCUUAACCUGGGAAUUGCUUUCAAAACUGACGAGCUAGAGUACGGUAGAGGGUAAUGGAAUUUCCUGUGUAGCGGUGAAAUGCGUAGAUAUAGGAAGGAACACCAGUGGCGAAGGCGACCACCUGGGCUAAUACUGACACUGAGGUGCGAAAGCGUGGGGAGCAAACAGG